rnacentral:rRNA from 1 species
CCUACGGGAGGCAGCAGUGGGGAAUUUUGGACAAUGGGCGCAAGCCUGAUCCAGCAAUGCCGCGUGAGUGAAGAAGGCCUUCGGGUUGUAAAGCUCUUUUGUCAGGGAAGAAACGGCUGAGGAUAAUACCUUCGGCUAAUGACGGUACCUGAAGAAUAAGCACCGGCUAACUACGUGCCAGCAGCCGCGGUAAUACGUAGGGUGCAAGCGUUAAUCGGAAUUACUGGGCGUAAAGCGUGCGCAGGCGGUUUUGUAAGUCUGUCGUGAAAGCCCCGGGCUCAACCUGGGAAUUGCGAUGGAGACUGCAAGGCUUGAAUCUGGCAGAGGGGGGUAGAAUUCCACGUGUAGCAGUGAAAUGCGUAGAGAUGUGGAGGAACACCGAUGGCGAAGGCAGCCCCCUGGGUCAAGAUUGACGCUCAUGCACGAAAGCGUAGGGGAGCAAACAGGAUUAGAUACCCUGGUAAGUCCACGCCCUAAACGAUGUCUACUAGUUGUCGGGUUUUAAUUAACUUGGUAACGCAGCUAACGCGUGAAGUAGACCGCCUGGGGAGUACGGUCGCAAGAUUAAAACUCAAAAUGAAAUUGACGG